AUACGGAGGGUGCAAGCGCUACUCGGAAUCACUGGGCGUAAAGCGCGCGCAGGCGGAUUGGCAAGUUGGAUGUGAAAGCCUGCGGCUCAACCGCAGAACUGCAUCCAAAACUGUCAGUCUAGAGUCUGGGAGAGGUAGCUGGAAUUAGUGGUGUAGGGGUAAAAUCCGUAGAGAUCACUAAGAAUACCGAAAGCGAAGGCGAGCUACUGGAACAGUACUGACGCUGAGGCGCGAAAGCGUGGGGAGCAAACAGGAUUAGAAACCCGAGUAGUCC
rnacentral:rRNA from 1 species